rnacentral:rRNA from 1 species
CCGAAAGGCAGGAGUGCCCGCAAGGGAGCGCGGAGACAGGCGGUGCAUGGCUGUCGUCAGCUCGUGUCGUGAGAUGUUGGGUUAAGUCCCGCAACGAGCGCAACCCUCACCCCUUGUUGCUACCAGGUAAUGCUGGGCACUCUAGGGGAACUGCCCCGGUCAACGGGGAGGAAGGCGGGGAUGACGUCAAGUCAUCAUGCCCCUUACGUCCUGGGCUACACACGUGCUACAAUGGCCGGUACAAAGGGAUGCCACACCGUGAGGUAGAGCUAAACCCAAAAAGCCGGUCUAAGUUCAGAUUGGAGUCUGCAACUCGACUCCAUGAAGGAGGAAUCGCUAGUAAUCGCGUAUCAGCACGACGCGGUGAAUACGUUCCCGGGCCUUGUACACACCGCCCGUCACACCACGAAAGCCAG